rnacentral:rRNA from 1 species
UGGCGGUAUGCUUACACAUGCAAGUGGCACGAGAGUUUUUAACUCUAGUAGCGGACGGGUGAGUAACACGUGAGAAUCUGCCCUUAGGAGGAGGAUAACAGCUGGAAACGGUUGCUAAUACUCCAUAUGCUGAAAAGUGAAAGGAUUUAUCUGCCUAAGGAGGAGCUCGCGUCUGAUUAGCUAGUUGGUAAGGUAAAGGCUUACCAAGGCGACGAUCAGUAGCUGGUUUGAGAGGACGAUCAGCCACACUGGGACUGAGACACGGCCCAGACUCCUACGGGAGGCAGCAGUGGGGAAUUUUCCGCAAUGGGCGCAAGCCUGACGGAGCAAUACCGCGUGAGGGAUGAAAGCCUGUGGGUUGUAAACCUCUUUUCUCAAGGAAGAAGUUCUGACGGUACUUGAGGAAUAAGCAUCGGCUAACUCUGUGCCAGCAGCCGCGGUAAUACAGAGGAUGCAAGCGUUAUCCGGAAUCACUAGGCAUAAAGCGUCUGUAGGUUGUUUAGUAAGUCUGCUGUUAAAUACUAGGGCUUAACCCUAGGCCAGCAGUGGAAACUGCUAGACUUGAGUAUGGUAAAGGUAGAGGGAAUUCCUAAUGUAGCGGUGAAAUG